UUCCAUGUAUAAGAAUAGACGAUUAUCGAUCGAAAUCAAAAACUGUUUAUUUACAUUAUCACCAUAAGAAAAUGAUUUCAGAAUCGGAGGGUGACAACAGUUGUGAGGAAGGACAAGACGUAGCAAGGAGGAGGCUGGAUGAAGCUUUGAUACAGAAGAAAAAACAGUUCCAGAAUUUAAGGAACAUUAAAGGAAGAACAAUAAAACGGCGAGAUACGGAUAAACAACAGAGACUUACUGCGUUCAAGGAGUCUUACAAAGGGAAAAAGUGGUACCUCAAAGAAACAAGCCAUGGUCGGUUCUUGAGUGGCAAAACCAUUGGAAUUCCCUUGACCAAAGACAACAGGACAAUCUAGAUCGCAAGAAGUCUCACUGCCAUUUAAGUAUUGGUUCGAAGAUUAAUGAGAUGGCUGCAGAUUACAAUGCCUCAGUAAUUUGCUUAAUCCGUUACCCCAAUGGAACUCAACACACCAAGUAUGUGUUAGUAAGCGGAGGUGGAAUUAAAUAUUCCAAAUCAAGAGACGGUGUUCUAACUGAACAACUCUGGCAUAGAUAUUGGAACAAAAAAAAAAAUAAACGACAACAGUUAUGUGAGGAGAAUGGCCUGUGGCUUGAGAGAGCCAGUAAAAGAAAAAGAAAAGAGAGAACAGUGGAAAGGACAGAGAAAGAGAAAAGUAUGCAAUCAGGAAACAGGAAACAGAGGAAGAGAGAAAGACAAUUUGAUAAUGAGAGCGUAGAGAGUGAAGAAGAAUACAAUGAAAGAUUGGACAGCGGAAUAGAGAAUCAGAAAAUAGGAAAAUCACACAACGAGACAGUAGAAAGCGAAGAAGAUAACGACGAAAGAUUGGAAAGGGGGG